GGAUAUGAGGUUGCUCUGGCUGCCACACGUGUCACCCACUGAGAGCUAGGGUUGACUCGGCUGGUCUGGCUGGCUAGUCUGAUGUCCCUUCCUCCACACCGUUCC
ensembl:misc_RNA 7SK 7SK RNA